CUGGUUUAAGCGUGUAGGCAUGCUGCAUAGGAAAAUCCGUGCGGCUUAGCUGAGGCGUGAUGACGAGUGCUCUUUGUGCGCGAAGUGAGUGAUACCCUGCUUCCAGGAAAAGCCUCUAAGCUUCAGUCUGUGACGACCGUACCGCAAACCGACACAGGUGGGCAGGAUGAAAAUUCUAAGGCGCUUGAGAGAACUCAGGAGAAGGAACUCGGCAAAUUGAUACCGUAACUUCGGGAGAAGGUAUGCCUCGGUAGUGUGUAGCGAUUUACUCGCGAAGCACGAUGAGGUCGCAGAGAAUCGGUGGCUGCAACUGUUUAAUAAAAACACAGCACUCUGCAAAGGCGAAAGCCGACGUAUAGGGUGUGACGCCUGCCCGGUGCUGGAAGGUUAAGUGAUGGGGUGCAAGCUCUUGAUCGAAGCCCCAGUAAACGGCGGCCGUAACGAUAACGGUCCUAAGGUAGCGAAAUUCCUUGUCGGGUAAGUUCCGACCUGCACGAAUGGCGUAAUGAUGGCCACACUGUCUCCUCCUGAGACUCAGCGAAGUUGAAAUGUUUGUGAAGAUGCAAUCUACCCGCGGCUAGACGGAAAGACCCCAUGAACCUUUACUGUAGCUUUGCAUUGGACUUUGACGGGACCUGUGUAGGAUAGGUGGGAGGCUGUGAGACCUGGUCGCUAGAUCAGGAGGAGCCAACCUUGAAAUACCACCCUGGUGUCGUUGAGGUUCUAACCUUGGACCGUGAAUCCGGUUCGGGGACCGUGCAUGGCAGGCAGUUUGACUGGGGCGGUCUCCUCCCAAAGGGUAACGGAGGAGUACAAGGUCUUCUAGGCACGGUCGGACAUCGUGCUAAUAGUGCAAUGGCAAAAGAAGGCUUGACUGCGAGACCGACAAGUCGAGCAGGUGCGAAAGCAGGUCAUAGUGAUCCGGUGGUUCUGUAUGGAAGGGCCAUCGCUCAACGGAUAAAAGGUACUCUGGGGAUAACAGGCUGAUUCCGCCCAAGAGUUCAUAUCGACGGCGGAGUUUGGCACCUCGAUGUCGGCUCAUCACAUCCUGGGGCUGUAGCCGGUCCCAAGGGUAUGGCUGUUCGCCAUUUAAAGUGGUACGUGAGCUGGGUUUAAAACGUCGUGAGACAGUUUGGUCCCUAUCUGCCGUGGGCGCUGGAUAUUUGAGGGGACCUGCUCCUAGUACGAGAGGACCGGAGUGGACGAACCUCUGGUGUACCGGUUAUGACGCCAGUCGUAUCGCCGGGUAGCUAAGUUCGGAAGAGAUAAACGCUGAAAGCAUCUAAGCGUGAAACUCGCCUCAAGAUGAGAUAUCCCGGGGGUUCAACCCCCCUAAAGGGUCGUCCAAGACCAGGACGUUGAUAGGUUGGGUGUGGAAGC
rnacentral:rRNA from 1 species